UGGGGGAUAGCCCGGCGAAAGCCGGAUUAAUACCGCAUACGCCCUGAGGGGGAAAGUGGGGGACCGCAAGGCCUCACGUUAUUGGAGCGGCCGAUGGCUGAUUAGCUAGUUGGUGGGGUAAAGGCCUACCAAGGCGACGAUCAGUAGCUGGUCUGAGAGGACGAUCAGCCACACUGGGACUGAGACACGGCCCAGACUCCUACGGGAGGCAGCAGUGGGGAAUUUUGGACAAUGGGCGAAAGCCUGAUCCAGCAAUGCCGCGUGUGCGAAGAAGGCCUUCGGGUUGUAAAGCACUUUUGUUCGGGAAGAAAACGUCUGUGUUAAUACCACGGGCGGAUGACGGUACCGGAAGAAUAAGCACCGGCUAACUACGUGCCAGCAGCCGCGGUAAUACGUAGGGUGCGAGCGUUAAUCGGAAUUACUGGGCGUAAAGCGUGCGCAGGCGGCCAUGUAAGACAGGUGUGAAAUCCCCGAGCUUAACUUGGGAAUUGCAUUUGUGACUGCAUGGCUAGAGUGUGUCAGAGGGAGGUGGAAUUCCACGUGUAGCAGUGAAAU
rnacentral:rRNA from 3 species